AACUGCAUUACAGGGCAAUUUCUCCAUUGGCAGAAUGUCACUUUAAAGCUCAUUCUUUUUUUUUUUGGUGAAAUUUAAAGCUCAUUCUUUGAUGUAGUGUAGUGUGCACUCUGCCAAAGGAGAUUUGUCCGGCUAUUCUUUU
rnacentral:pre_miRNA from 1 species